UGCAAGGCUCUUCCUGCCGAGACGAAUCGUACGUGCCUGCCGCCGCGCCGGCGAACCAUGUCGUCGUCCGCGUUGAGGGCCGCGGGGCAGAGGGCGGGGGCCGCGGCCCGUAAGCAGGCGCUCACCCUGACGGAGGCCGCGGCGGCCAGGGUGCGCCACCUCCUCGACCUCAGGCAGCGGCCCUACCUGCGCCUUGGCGUCAAGGCGCGCGGCUGCAACGGCCUGUCCUACACGCUCAAUUACGCCGAAGAAAAAGGGAAGUUCGAUGAGCUUGUUGAAGAGAAGGGUGUGAAAGUGCUGAUUGACCCCAAGGCCCUGAUGCAUGUGAUCGGCACCAAGAUGGACUUCGUCGACGAUCCACUGAGGUCAGAGUUUGUGUUCAUAAACCCGAACUCGAAAGGGGAGUGUGGAUGCGGUGAAUCUUUCAUGACUACGGGCAGCAAAGGAUCUACGUCAUGA
rnacentral:rRNA from 1 species